UCAACUCCCUCUGUCUGUCUGGUAAAAAGUGUUUACAAGUUAUUUCUUCCACAUUCAUUUUUGGAUCAAGCUGAAACUUCGCACAAUUAUUCAUUGACAUAGACAAGAUAUGAAUCAAUAAAAAAAAAGUAACCAAUUAGACUAUUAAUUACUGGUAAUUCAUUAUUUUGUUUGAUAUCAACAAGGGAAACUAAAACUUCAGUAUUCAUAGAUAUGGUUAAGUUUGUUGGGUUUAGUCCCCUUAAAUAAUUGUUAACGCUAUUUCUCACGCAUUCUUCGAUCAAGUUGAUACUUUAAAUAAUUAUGUAUUGUACCUGAAAACAUCAAUAAAUAAUGUACUCAAUUGGUCAAUUAAUUAUUGGUAAUUAAUUAUUUUGUUUGAUAUUGAAUAAGGGAAACAGCUAGUACAUUAUUGAUAGAUAAUUUUAAAAGCGGGGUACUUCCCUUUAGAUAUGCUUUUUUUUAAAAUAAAAAAUUUAUUUUUUCUAUUUCACUCGUUUGAUGCCACGUUUAUAAGCUAUAUUUCAUUAUACUUUAUUAUUUGUUUGCUAUUUAUAAUUACAGUUCUUUAUACUUUGAAAUAUUUCAUUUUACAUUAAUAUAUUUUAUUAUUAUUUAAAUACAUCAUUAUACCUCAUUUUUAUGAUAACAAAUAUCUCUCCAUAUAUAAUUAAAUAUUUAUAUUAACCUCUCACAUUAUGCAAAUAUGUAAAGUCAAUUUUAGUAGUUUAAUAGUUAUGACUUCUUAACGUUUCGUUAACUUUAAAGCCGCAUAACAUGUC